rnacentral:misc_RNA from 1 species
CUGAUUAUAUGUUUGAUUAGCUCAUAGAGCUCUAAAUACCAAUCCUCGAUUCAAUUGCCCGUUCUAGUAAUACCAAAAUUAUUCAAUGAUACAAAUGACUAUCUGCUUGAUGGAUAUUCGUCCUUUAGGGUUUGCUCAGCUGAACCCGUUAUGUGCUCUAUCUCCGGAUCCUCUUUUAGAAGACGCUCUAGUUCUUCUGUAUCAAUAUGCACAGCCUUGAGUCUAAGAGUCCUAUCGUCUUUUUCGGAGGGAACACGUUCAUAUUUAUUGUAUAGCUUAUCUAUUUUCUCUUCUAAACGUACUCGAUCCU